rnacentral:rRNA from 1 species
UGCAAGUCGAGCGGACAGAAGGGAGCUUGCUCCCGGAUGUUAGCGGCGGACGGGUGAGUAACACGUGGGUAACCUGCCUGUAAGACUGGGAUAACUCCGGGAAACCGGAGCUAAUACCGGAUAGUUCCUUGAACCGCAUGGUUCAAGGAUGAAAGACGGUUUCGGCUGUCACUUACAGAUGGACCCGCGGCGCAUUAGCUAGUUGGUGAGGUAACGGCUCACCAAGGCGACGAUGCGUAGCCGACCUGAGAGGGUGAUCGGCCACACUGGGACUGAGACACGGCCCAGACUCCUACGGGAGGCAGCAGUAGGGAAUCUUCCGCAAUGGACGAAAGUCUGACGGAGCAACGCCGCGUGAGUGAUGAAGGUUUUCGGAUCGUAAAGCUCUGUUGUUAGGGAAGAACAAGUGCAAGAGUAACUGCUUGCACCUUGACGGUACCUAACCAGAAAGCCACGGCUAACUACGUGCCAGCAGCCGCGGUAAUACGUAGGUGGCAAGCGUUGUCCGGAAUUAUUGGGCGUAAAGGGCUCGCAGGCGGUUUCUUAAGUCUGAUGUGAAAGCCCCCGGCUCAACCGGGGAGGGUCAUUGGAAACUGGGAAACUUGAGUGCAGAAGAGGAGAGUGGAAUUCCACGUGUAGCGGUGAAAUGCGUAGAGAUGUGGAGGAACACCAGUGGCGAAGGCGACUCUCUGGUCUGUAACUGACGCUGAGG